UCCGUAGGGUGCGAGCGUUGUCCGGAAUUACUGGGCGUAAAGCGUGCGUAGGCGGUUUGUUAAGUCUGUUGUGAAAUCCCCGGGCUCAACCUGGGAAUGGCAAUGGAUACUGGCAGGCUAGAGUGUGUCAGAGGAUGGUGGAAUUCCCGGUGUAGCGGUGAAAUGCGUAGAGAUCGGGAGGAACACCGAUGGCGAAGGCAGAUCUCUGGGCCGUAACUGACGCUGAGGAGCGAAAGCAUGGGGAGCGAACAGG
rnacentral:rRNA from 1 species